rnacentral:rRNA from 1 species
UAGUGAUUAACGCGAAGAACCUUACCCAGACUCGACAUGCAUUAGACGGGUGUGGAAACACACCUUCCCUUCGGGGCUGGUGCACAGGUGCUGCAUGGCUGCCGUCAGCUCGUGUCGUGAGAUGUUGGGUUAAGUCCCGCAACGAGCGCAACCCUUGUCCUUAGUUGCUAACGGGUGAUGCCGAGCACUCUAAGGAGACUGCCGGUGAUAAACCGGAGGAAGGUGGGGAUGACGUCAAGUCCUCAUGGCCCUUACGUCUGGGGCUACACACGUGCUACAAUGGCCGGUACAAAGGGUUCCGAUACCGCGAGGUGGAGGCAAUCCCAAAAAACCGGUCUCAGUUCGGAUUGCAGUCUGCAACUCGACUGCAUGAAGUCGGAAUCGCUAGUAAUCGCUGAUCAGCAGGCAGCGGUGAAUACGUUCCCGGGCCUUGUCACACCGAAUCGAAUUC